rnacentral:rRNA from 1 species
AAUUGAAGAGUUUGAUCCUGGCUCAGAGCGAACGCUGGCGGCGUGGUUGAGACAUGCAAGUCGAACGAGUCGGGUCUGGUCGUAAGACCGGGCCUGUACGAGUGGCGGAAGGGAGAGUACAAAACAGGUAACGUACCCCGGACACCGGAAUAGCUCGUCGAAAGGCGGAUUAAUGCCGGGUGAUGUCCCGGAUCGCAUGGUUCGGGAUCAUAGGAUGGGGACCCUUCGGGGCCUGUCGGUCUGGGAGCGGCCUGUUUCCUAUCAGCUGGUUGGUGGGGUAAUGGCUCACCAAGGCGAUGACGGGUAGCCGGCCUUAGCGGGUGUUCGGCCUCACUGGGACUGAGACACUGCCCAGAGCCCUACGGGGUGCAGCAGUCUCGAAUCAUCCGCAAUGCGCGAAAGCGUGACGGUGCGACGCCGCGUGCGGGAGGAAGCCCUUCGGGGUGUAAACCGCUUUUCAGAGGUAUGAAGUGCGCCCGCCGAAGAAGCGGGUGGCAUUGACGUCAACUCUGGAAUAAGCCACGGCUAACUUCGUGCCAGCAGCCGCGGUAAGACGAAGGUGGCGAGCGUUGCUCGGAAUUACUGGGCUUAAAGCGGGCGCGGGCGGCCCGGUCAGUCGGAUGUGAAAGCCCUUGGCUCAACCAAGGAAUGGCACCCGAUACUGCCGGGCUUGAGGCAUUCAGGGGCGACUGGAACUCUCGGUGGAGCGGUGAUAUGCGUAGAUAUCGAGAGGAACGCCAAUGGCGAAGGCAGGUCGCUGGGGAUGUCCUGACGCUGAGGCCCGAAAGCCAGGGGAGCGAACGGGAUUAGAUACCCCGGUAGUCCUGGCCCUAAACGAUGCACACUAGGUGGGGGAGGGUCUGACGCCCAUCCCCGCCGCAGAGAAAUCGUUAAGUGUGCCGCCUGGGGAGUACGGUCGCAAGGCUAAAACUCAAAGGAAUUGACGGGGGCUCACACAAGCGGUGGAGCAUGUGGCUCAAUUCGAGGCAACGCGAAGAACCUUAUCCUGGGCUUGACAUGCAGGUAGUAGAACCCCGAAAGGGGAACGACCGGUUCAGCCCGGAGCCUGCACAGGUGCUGCAUGGCUGUCGUCAGCUCGUGCUGUGAAGUGUCGGGUUAAGUCCCUUAACGAGCGAAACCCUUGCCCUUAGUUGCCAGCGGGUCAUGCCGGGGACUCUAAGGGGACUGCCACGGUGAACGUGGAGGAAGGUGGGGAUGACGUCAAGUCCUCAUGGCCUUUAUGCCCAGGGCUGCACACGUGCUACAAUGGCGGGCACAGAGGGAUGCGAAGUCGCGAGGCGGAGCCAAACCCUAAAAACCCGCCCCAGUUCGGAUUGCAGGCUGCAACUCGCCUGCAUGAAGGUGGAAUCGCUAGUAAUCGCGGAUCAGCGAUGCCGCGGUGAAUGUGUUCCUGAGCCUUGUACACACCGCCCGUCAAGCCACCGAAGCCGGGAGUACCCGAAGUCGCUGACCCAACCCGAAAGGGAGGGAGGCGCCGACGGUAAGCUCGGUGACGGGGACUAAGUCGUAACAAGGUAGCCGUAGGGGAACCUGCGGCUGGAUCACCUCCUUUCUAGGGAG